rnacentral:rRNA from 1 species
UACGGAGGAUCCAAGCGUUAUCCGGAAUUACUGGGCGUAAAGAGUUGCGUAGGUUGCAGAGUAAGUUGCUAGUGAAAGCCUGGGGCUCAACCCCUUACACAUUAGCAAAACUGCUCAGCUAGAGGACGAGAGAGGUCACUGGAAUUUCUAGUGUAGGAGUGAAAUCCGUAGAUAUUAGAAGGAACACCGAUGGCGUAGGCAGGUGACUGGCUCGUUCCUGACACUAAGGCACGAAAGCGUGGGGAGCGAACGGG